UACACAUCGAGCAGCUGUUAAACUACACAUCGUGCAUGCCGUAGGACACACAAACGAUAAGUUUCGUUAAGUCAGCCGUUGAAACUGUUUUAACUGGUGCUGGGCCAAGUUUUGUGUAUCAAUUGAAUUGCUUGGGUGUUGAUCAAACGUGUGUUGAGGUGAAUCGAGCUUGCGGAAAGAAAAGGCAUGUCGAUAUUUGCAAAAAUGGUGCUUUCGUCUGACCAAUUCCAAACGCGAACAGUUUGCGUGAUCCAAUCUAAUAACUUCAAGAGCAUCAAACGGCAACACAGAUGGAGAUCCAUACAGUAUGAAGAUGAAUACAGAUGAAGAUCUA